GCGCUCGUCAUCUGGGGAGUAGCCAGCCGCCGCAGGGCGGGCCUGCACGUCAACAUACUUGGCCGAGAGGUCAUGGUGUGCAGGGAACGAAGCUUCGUUCGGGCGAGACCAAUGACACCGCGCUUUCGUCCGGCCGGGCGGAAGGGGUGGUGUCAUUGCAGUCUUGAACGCC
rnacentral:sRNA from 1 species